GCGCCUGUGGCGGAAUUGGCAGACGCGCCAGACUUAGGAUCUGGUGUUAACACGUGCGGGUUCGACCCCUGUCAGGCGCACCA
rnacentral:tRNA from 1 species